rnacentral:antisense_RNA from 1 species
GCUGCGCCCUCCCCACUCCACAGAUGAGGAAGCUGAGGUUAAAGUCACUUGCCCCAGGUCACUCCGCAAGUUGAAGCGCAACCAGGAUACUCUGGAACAGGAUGCCUGACUUCAGAGGAGAGACGCGUAACCACCAGGCAACUGGCCUCACGAAAACAAGUCCCACAACUUCCCUUCUUUGGCUCCUACUUGCUCCCGGAAGAAAGGCCUUAAACGGUAUUCAAGCCCUUUAGGAUCUGAUGUCCUAGGACUCCACUCUGGGCUUCCAUCCUGGGGUGGUACUGGUCCCUAGGCAUGGAAGCUCCUCCCACUGCCCCUUCCUUCACUCGGCCACCUCCUCCCACAGGUGUCUUCCUGGUACUCUUGCACAGGCCCGAGUCCCUUACCACCACUGCCUUAUCCUGCUCUGGUGCUCUCAGUAGUGUUUUCUCCAUUUGCUGCCUUUCAUUCUUUCCAGAGAUUCUUGCUCAACCCAACCAGGCCAGCCCAGGGACUAGGGACAUGUAGGGACAAUAGUCCCUGCUUUAGGCAGUUCAGGGCAGACCACAGAGAUGUGACAUUACAGACCAUUGUGAGCAGAGGCCUUGUCUCAUACUGUGUUGCAUCCCUAAGCCAGGAACAAAGUCCAGCCCAGGCCCGGCUCCAGGGGACACGCAGUAGUGUCCUCUGGCCUGUGCAAGUGUAUCUGUAGCCUCACAUGCCACCAUGUGAGUCUGCAAUCUGUCUGUGAAGCCAGGAGUUUGGAGGUGGGAGGGAGCCCUACAGAAUAAUAGCCAGUGUGAACUCCUGGGAAUGCCCAGCCACUAAGACCUGCCCACAGCCCUGCCAUGCCAAUGUCCUCCUUUUCACGGGAGCAGCUUGCACAGACUUUCAGCGCACAGCUGGCAUCGUGUUCCCAGGAGCCAUCCUGUAACCCAGGCCAGGUGAAGGGCUCCUCUCUGGGACCCCACAGCCCCGUUCCCAUCAUCCUUUUGUGGUAAUCGAGGCACCCAUCACACAGUAUUGCCAUAAACCGGGUCAGGUUAACCUUUCAUUCCCUUAGGAGCUGGGUGGGGGCAGCCAAAAGUAUUUCUAGGAGGAAGAGAGAAAGGAGGGGACGGAGUAAGGAAGAAUGGGAGGAUGGUCAGAACGCCCCUGUGAAGGAAGAAGAGCACCAAGUCCCCGUGUUCUGCCUACCCUCCCCCAGACAGCAGAUCAGGAGUACCCCGCGCCCCCCCCACGCCGUCGGCGCCGGCCCCCCGCAGUGGUUGGGGGUAUGGGGAGGUGAACCAAGAAGGCCAGGAAGGUGUUCAAGUGCGUGAUCCCCCACUGGGGCGUAUAGGUUACAGCCCCCAGGGCAGCUGAAACUCCUCAGGCUUCAGAGGGCUGAAGUGAGUCGCCUCCACGUUCUUGAGGUGCUUCCGAGCCAGGAACAGUGCGAGCCGCCGGCGCCGCCGUGAGCUCAGGCCCUGGCCCACCAGCCAUGGGAAGGCGGGUCCGUGUGGCCCCAGGGCCUCCUCGCCCUCCAGCUCCUCUUCGCAGCGUGCACGGUAGGAGCGCAGCAACGCCAGACACCAGUCUUCGUCCACGCGGUAGCGUGCAUAGAAGGCGGCCUCCUGCGCCAAGCUGCCAGCGCGCAGCCAGCGGGUGACGACGGCGCGGCCCUCUCGCGCCAUCACGACGGGGUAGCGGUGCUCCAGCAGGCGCAGCAGCAGCUCAUUGCCCCGGUUGCCCUCCACGUCGCCGGGUGACAGGGGGCGCAGGCGGCCCGAGGUGCUGACCACGUCGUCCUGCAUGCGUCGGAGCAGCAGCACCGGCCCCGGGUAGCAGCACAGCUGCUCGGCCACGUUGAGGUUGAAGUGCUCGCGCACGGUGCGCACCACCAGCCCCUUCCAACUGUGGGGCAUGACCUUCAGCGCCAGCGGCACGAGGUCGUCGAAGGUGGCGUCCAGCACCAGUGCACCCAGCUCCGGGUAGGUCAUGGUGGCCCAGGUGGCCGUGAAGCCGCCAACAGACCAGCCGUAGACCACCAGGUGCGCGGGCGAGAAGUGCAGGCGGUGCAGUGCGUACUUGACCACCACGUCCAUGGCGUUGGCGUCGUGCUGAGGGAAGGGCACGCCAGUGCUGCCGCCGAAGCCGGGGUGGUUCCAGCCCAGCACGGAGUAGCCGGCCUCGAGUGGUGCAGACACACAGCCCAUCUCAUAGAAGCCCGCGUUGCCUUCGCAGCAGAUGACGAGGCGCAGCCCGUGCCCGUGGCUGCCCGGGUGCUGGCGGCGGUCCAUGAACAUGGUGUCGAUCUCGUUGCCGUCACAGGCCACCAGCUUGGCGCGCCGGCCGUGGUAGCGCUCCACGAGGCGCUCUUGGCCCUGCUGCAGCAGCGGCAGCAGCGCGCGCGUCAUCAGGGACACGGAGCCGGGGUACACGAGCCAGCGGCCCAGCGAGUGGGCCAGCGCGUAGCUAGCGAGCUGGCCGGGCAGCUCGCGGAGCUGCUGCAAGAGGCACUGCGCCUGGCUGCGCGCCCCACGUGGAGGCCGCCCCAGCGCAUCCCCGCCCAGCGCCUCUUCCCGCAGCAGCCACACGCCCGCCGCAGCUGCCGCGCAGGUCAACGCCCGGUGGCUGCUGCUCCCGCCCACGGCGCGCACGUCAUCCCAGCGGAAGGCCACGGGCCAGCCACGGAAUGUGUAGGUGUAGCUGGCGGUCAGGUAGAUCUUGAACACGUGCACCAGCGCCUUCACGAAGCAGAUGACGCACAUGAGCGGUGGCCCCAACGCCCAGCCGCUAGGCCGGGAUCGCUGCGAGAGGCACAGGGCAGUCUUAGGGGAUACCGGCUCCCGGACAGGCCCUGAUGGCCUUUGUGACCUGGCCUUCCAGGGCCGAGGGAAGGCUGCAUCCUGUUGCUAGGUGAUGGGUGCACAAAGCGUUCCCAGAGAUGAUGAACCCAAGGUUCUGCCCGUCACCCGUGUUCGCCAAGACCCCACCAGCCAAACGCUCCCAGGCCCAGCUUUCCCACCCAUGAUUUGAGCAGCUACUGUCUCCCUCUUUCUUCCUUAUGUAUUUAUUAAAUUGAGAUGGGGUCUCGCAA